rnacentral:rRNA from 1 species
UGCUACCUGCAGUCGACGAGAGCCCGCAAGGGUUGUAAAGUGGCGGACGGGUGCGUAACACGUGGGUAAUCUACCCUAUGGCCUGGGAUAACCUGCCGAAAGGCGGGCUAAUACCGGAUAAGACCACAGCUCUGCGGAGUGGUGGGAAAAGACCCGCAAGGGUCACCGUUUGAUGAGCCCGCGGCCUAUCACGGUAGUUGGUGAGGUAAUGGCUCACCAAGCCUACGACGGGUAGCUGGUCUGAGAGGACGACCAGUCACACUGGAACUGAGACACGGUCCAGACUCCUACGGGAGGCAGCAGUGGGGAAUAUUGCGCAAUGGGCGAAAGCCUGACGCAGCAACGCCGCGUGGGUGAUGAAGGCCUUCGGGUUGUAAAGCCCUGUCGCCCGGGACGAAUAAGCUCGUGAAGAACGAGCCCUGACGGUACCGGGAGAGGAAGCACCGGCUAACUCUGUGCCAGCAGCCGCGGUAAUACAGAGGGUGCUAGCGUUGUUCGGAAUUAUUGGGCGUAAAGGGCGCGUAGGCGGUAUCGCAUGUCCGAUGUGAAAGCCCACCUCUUAAAGGUGGAAUUGCAUCGGAAACUGCGAAACUAGAGUGCCGGAGAGGGUGGUGGAAUUCCUGGUGUAGAGGUGAAAUUCGUAGAUAUCAGGAGGAACACCGGUGGCGAAGGCGGCCACCUGGACGGUAACUGACGCUGAGGCGCGAAAGCGUGGGGAGCAAACAGGAUUAGAUACCCUGGUAGUCCACGCUGUAAACGAUGGGUGCUAGGUGUUGUGGGUAUUGACCCCCGCAGUGCCGUCGCUAACGCAUUAAGCACCCCGCCUGGGGAGUACGGUCGCAAAGACUAA